rnacentral:rRNA from 1 species
AGAGUUUGAUCAUGGCUCAGAUUGAACGCUGGCGGAAUGCUUUACACAUGCAAGUCGAACGGCAGCAUAGGUGCUUGCACCUGAUGGCGAGUGGCGAACGGGUGAGUAAUACAUCGGAACGUGCCCAGUCGUGGGGGAUAACGUAGCGAAAGUUACGCUAAUACCGCAUACGAUCUACGGAUGAAAGCGGGGGACCGUAAGGCCUCGCGCGAUUGGAGCGGCCGAUGUUAGAUUAGGUAGUUGGUGGGGUAAAGGCUCACCAAGCCGACGAUCUAUAGCUGGUCUGAGAGGAUGAUCAGCCACACUGGGACUGAGACACGGCCCAGACUCCUACGGGAGGCAGCAGUGGGGAAUUUUGGACAAUGGGCGCAAGCCUGAUCCAGCCAUUCCGCGUGCAGGACGAAGGCCUUCGGGUUGUAAACUGCUUUUGUACAGAACGAAAAGCUCUGGGUUAAUACCCUGGGGUCAUGACGGUACUGUAAGAAUAAGCACCGGCUAACUACGUGCCAGCAGCCGCGGUAAU